rnacentral:rRNA from 1 species
CGGAGGAAAAGAAACUAACCAGGAUUCCCUUAGUAACGGCGAGUGAACAGGGAAAAGCCCAGCACCGAAGCCUGUGGCCGUUUGGUCUCUAGGCAAUGUGGUGUUCAGGUCAGCUCGCAGAGAUACUGCUCCACCCUAAGUCCUGUAAUGAGUAAGGUUACUGGAGCGGCCCACAGAGGGUGAAAGGCCCGUGGGGGUGGAGAUGCAGAUGAGUCAGUGUCUCUAUGAGUGGACCUUGGAGUCGGGUUGUUUGUGAAUGCAGCCCAAAGUGGGUGGUAAACUCCAUCCAAGGCUAAAUACUGGCACGAGUCCGAUAGCGAACAAGUACCGUGAGGGAAAGUUGAAAAGUACUUUGAAGAGAGAGUAAACAGUGCGUGAAACCGCUCAAAGGUAAACGGGUGGAGUUGAACUGCAAGCUCCGGGAAUUCAACUGGUGAGUGUGAUGUGAGCUUGGCACAUAGUUGUACAUCUGGGUCUGCUUAGCUGCAGGUCUCCGCCUCUGGUGGGGAUGCGCGAAUCACUUAUCAUGUGUUGUGCGCCCGGGCUGUGUCGAACUGGCUCGCCAGUGCACUUUCUCGGAGUAGUCACCACGACCGGCGUUGCUGCCUUGCUGUUGCGGUUAAACCGGCCUUGUAGGGUCCCUGUGGCCUUGCUUGGUCGGGAUGGCAGGUAGCCCGUUGUGUACUUCUGUGCGCCUCGGGUGUAAUAGCUGACUGCAUCGGUUUUGUGCGGUACGUCGGAGACGGCGGCUUGUUGUGCGUGCGUGCGUACCUUGUGCGCUGGCGGCGCUGGGUCCGGUUGCCAUGUUGCUUGUGAAUGCAGGCCUGGUGAUGGCUCGGUGUUGUUCGGUGUGCGGAUGCGUGUGUGGCACUUAAA